GACGAACGCUGGCGGCGUGCCUAAUACAUGCAAGUCGAACGCAGUGGGGACGGGUGAGUAACACGUGGGUAACCUCCCAUCAGAGGGGAUAACACUUGGAAACAGGUGCUAAACCGAUACUGAUGGAUGGACCCGCGGGGGAUUAGCUAGUUGGUGAGGUAACGGCUCACCAAGGCGACGAUGCAUAGCUGGCCUGAGAGGGGGAUCAGCCACACUGGGACUGAGACACGGCCCAGACUCCUACGGGAGGCAGCAGUGGGGAAUCUUCGACAAUGGACGAAAGUCUGACCGAGCCACGCCGCGUGAGUGAAGAAGGUUUUCGGGUCGUAAAACUCUGUUGGUAGAGAAGCGGUAUCUGACCAGAAAGCAACGGCUAACUACGUGCCAGCAGCCGCGGUAAUUC
rnacentral:rRNA from 1 species